rnacentral:rRNA from 1 species
AUCUGCCUUUUGGUUUGGAAUAACACGGGGAAACUUGUGCUAAUACCGAAUAAGCCUUUACAGGGAAAGUUUUAACGCCGAAAGAUGAGCCUGCACUUGAUUAGCUAGUUGGUAAGGUAAAAGCUUACCAAGGCAACGAUCAAUAGCUGUUCUUAGAGGAAGACCAGCCACAUUGGGACUGAGACACGGCCCAGACUCCUACGGGAGGCAGCAGUGGGGAAUCUUGCACAAUGGGGGAAACCCUGAUGCAGCGAUGCCGCGUGAGUGAAGAAGGCCUUUGGGUUGUAAAACUCUUUCGUCGGGGAAGAAAAUGACUGUACCCGAAUAAGAAGGUCCGGCUAACUUCGUGCCAGCAGCCGCGGUAAUACGAAGGGACCUAGCGUAGUUCGGAAUUACUGGGCUUAAAGAGCUCGUAGGUGGUUAAAAAAGUUGAUGGUGAAAUCCCAAGGCUCAACCUUGGAACUGCCAUCAAAACUUUUUAGCUAGAGUGUGAUAGAGGUAAGUGGAAUUUCUAGUGUAGAGGUGAAAUUCGUAGAUAUUAGAAAGAACACCAAAUGCGAAGGCAACUUACUGGGUCACUACUGACACUGAGGAGCGAAAGCAUGGGUAGCGAAGAGGAUUAGAUACCCUCGUAGUCCAUGCCGUAAACGAUG